AAACCGUUACCAUUAUUGCGUG
rnacentral:miRNA from 1 species